CCUUACGACCACACCGGCCUGAGUACGCCUGAUCUCGUCUGAUCUCGGAAGCUAAGCAGGGUCAGGCCUGGUUAGUACUUGGAUGGGGAGACCCCUGGGAGUACCAGGUGCUGUAAGAU
rnacentral:rRNA from 1 species